AUGGAUCCUAAUGGCUCCUAUCCUAACAAAGUCACAUCCACUGAAAGUGAAGCCAAUGUAGCCCUAUCAGCAUUACCACCAAACUUGCCUGAUGCACAAUUUACUCCUUUAUCCAUGGCCAACACCCAUAAUUCUAAUCCCAACCAUAGGGAAAUCAUUGAGAACCAGCCAGAAAUGUUAUCGUACCAAGCUUUCUUGUCAAAUCCUAUUAAGAACUACUUUGGUUCAUCAGAUCUAAGGAGGAUAUUGUCCAUGGAGUCUCCAUCAGUCACAUCCUUACUCCAAGGAGAUCCCGUUGCCGUUGUUCAUGCCCACCUUAAUACUAUUGGAGCAACAGACGAUGGUCCAAUCUUUAAGAUCCCCACCACCCACGUCAUCGAGGAGCAACAAAAUAUACCACAUGGAGCGCUAACCCAUGAUGCUACUGAUGGUGUACCUACCCCUCUUGCUCCAUUCAUGACAUCCCCACAUGGCCUGAGAGAAGACAAGACUCCUAUAGGUGGCCCAAAUGUCGUUACCGAAAGUGUUAUUGUGCAUGAUUCUACGAGCUUACGUAAGUACAAAUGCAAGAUUUGUGAUCGCACGUUCAACUCAUCUCAAGCCUAUGGUGGUCACAUGAAGUUCCAUAGUAUAGAAAGGAAGAAAAGGUUCCAAAGCUGA
rnacentral:rRNA from 1 species